UGGAAGAGAGAACAUUUCCUUUAAUUUUCUAUAGCAUCUCAUGGGUUACAAGUUACAACUAUAUAAGAAGGCGGCACAAUCACUGUUACAAUAAUGGCUAUUAAAUUAUGCGAAAAAAAAAAAAAUUGCUUGCAUACAAUUAUUAAGGACGUGGUAGGAACUUUAUAAUGUCUAUUUAUGCUACACAAUGACAAUGCUACUCAAACUGAUAAUCCAGCUAAAAAUGCCACUCCAGUAGAAGGCAACCAUGAUGAUCCAUAAAUAAACUCUGCUACUGUGAAUUUACUUGCCUCAGUAGUUGAUGUGAUGACCCUAUACCCGGGCCAUUUUACCCGUUGCCCGACUGCCCCUCCCGGCCCGAAAUUCAUGUACUCACCAUAGUACAGCGUAUCAAGUGCAAAUGUUGCAUUCCAUUCUAGCCAACCUCUUGGAUGAAUGUGAUCACCCAUGUAUGUUAACAUGUAGACAGUUCUUGAGUAGAGUUUCCAUGGACGGCCUAGAUAUGUUGGGAAGCUACCAUUGGCCGCCUCGAGCUCUGGCGUGGCAUAGAGCUUACAGGCAUGGAUAGAUAUGCCUGUAUUUUGGUUAGGGUCUUUACGAUUCUGGGCAGUGAUGGUGUUUUUCUGUAAAGCCAUAGGCUUACGAGCGUAAAUGCUGCAAUUUUGAAACACUACAGCCGCAUUACCAAAUAUGAAAUCAACCGUACCAUAAAUGCCACAUUCCCGGUAAAAUUGGCGAUUCGAGUGCACAUAGAGAGUGUCUUGAUAUCCAAAGACGUUGCAACGAUAGACCACAGCAUGGUCAGCACCAACCCGGAGAGCCACAGCUUGGUGCUUGGAUGGACCAGCUGAGUUCUCAAAUGUCAUGUCACGAGCAAUGAAACCAGCUCCGGUGGCAGCGAAUGAGGCAGUGUGGAAUGUCGUUACAUUAUCGUAAACGCUUUUGCUUCCUGAAAUCACCGUUUUACCCCUUCCAUCUCCUAUGAACAUCAAAUUCCUCUUCUUCCUUCCCACUUUCAAGUUAUUCUCUUCGUAUCUUCCUGCCCUCACGUAAAUUAUUGUUCGCCGAUUGUUGUACUCCGGUGCCUUCUUAAUCGCCUCCGUGAUCGUCUUGUACGUUCCGUUCCCGUCUUUCGAAACGAUUAUAUCGGCCUGUAUAGCCGACACCGGCAUGUUCAAUAGUCUCCUUUCUUUCCUCCCCAACCAACUCGGAAGAUCAUCGGCAUUUUCCUCCGAGAUUUCGGCGUCCAUCAAUCUCCGCCGGUUCUGUAUCGGAACGCCAAAGAAAUCGUCACUGUCAGUAGCCGAAAAAAUUGCCAAGCAAUUGCUCACUAACUCGGAUAAGUCCCUCAACUUAUCAGACAUCUGAUCCUUUACAGCUCCACUUAAGUCUGUAAAUCCCUCCGUACAUGUGUCCUGAUUAGUCAGCGCGGCGCUGAGCCAAGUAACCACGUCUUCAGUGGACCCGACAGCCUGUACCUGUCCCGCAGUGUUCCCGUCCAUCGACGGCGCGACGAUGGAGAGCGAGCGCGAAAGCGCGUCCACGGAAUCAUCAAGCAGCUCAAGGCAGUCCUCAAAGGCCGACCGUACACGAGUAUCCAUCUGAAGAUAAGAGAUCCCCGAAGAGAGGUACAGAGCUUUGCUAAAGUGCUGCAGAGUCAUAUUGAAAGAAAUGUGGACGAGGUCCUUCUCGGAGGCGGUCUCAGAACCAGGAAAAUCCAGCAACGAGUUAACACAGAGAGUCGGAAAGCGCGUCUUGCUGCAAGUUUUAGAAAUGGCCUUGGUGGGCUUCCUGGCCACAACUGGGCUGGGAUGGCCUGAAGCCCGGGUGCGUAGCCCGAUUAGAAGCGUGGCGGAGACGGCAGAGGCGAUGAUCAAGACGAUGGAGAGGAGGGAAAGGAGGAUUACCUUCCUCUUGCGGGAAGGGUUUGAGGUGGUAUGUUCUGGUGGGUCAAGAGAGCGGGAGGAUCCGCCGGGUUCGGAGGGUCCGAGCCUGCCAUAGUCGAGGGGUUUCAUUUCAGUAGGAGUAAAAGGUAGAGAGAAUGUGAAGGGAGUGGAGACUAGAAUGCGAGUGUGUGCAUAUAUAUAUAUGUAUAUAUAAAGAAGAGUAUGAGAGCGUAGAGGAGGUGGGAUUAUAUAAAUAGAAGAAUGGUGGGCGUAAGGAGUGAAGGUGGAGAAGAGAGGAGAGGGUACUACGAUAGGGGGUGGAAGGAGAAGCAGUAAUGGAGGUUGGUGUAAAGUCUAUAUCGAGAGCCAAAAUAGCUGGCCUCUACUUCUACCACUGCCCAUUGGAUGCAAGUAACGAGUGUGUGAGCAAGCCUAUGCUUGUGCUGCUUUCCUUUUCUUGUUUGUUUGCUUUUUUUUAUUCUUAUUUUUAUUUUUCUCUUCUUAUGUGCUUUGUUUGGAGACAUAAGAUUUUUG
rnacentral:misc_RNA from 1 species